rnacentral:rRNA from 1 species
AGUGAACGCUGGCGGCAGGCCUAACACAUGCAAGUCGAACGAGUGGCGGACGGGUGAGUAAUGUCUGGGAAACUGCCUGAUGGCGGGGGAUACCUACUGGAAACGGUAGCUAAUACCGCAUACCAUCGGAUGUGCACAGAUGGGAUUAGCUAGUUGGUGGGGUAAAGGCCUACCAAGGCGACGAUCCGUAACUGGUCUGAGAGGAUGAUUAGUCACACUGGGACGGAGACACGGUCCAGACGCCUACGGGAGGCAGAAGUGGGGAAUAGUGGAAAAUGGGCGAAAGCCUGAUCCAGCCAUGCCGGGUGUGUGAAGAAGGGCUUCGGAUUGUAAAGCACUUUAAGGUGGGAGGCGUUACCAACAGAAUAAGCACCGGCUAACUUCGUGCCAGCAGCCGCGGUAAUUC